AACGCACCUUGCGCCCCUUGGUAUCCCGAGGGGCAUGCCUGUUUGAGUGUCAUUAAAUUCUCAACUUGACUCUGAAUCUUUCAGAGUCAAGCUUGGACUUGGAGUGUGCCGGCCUCACCAAGGUUGGCUCCUCUUAAAAGCAUUAGCAAAACCUGAUUGGGCUCGAUCAAGCUUUGUUGGCAUUGAUAAUUAACCUGUCUAUGUCAUCGGCUGAAACAAGAGUGCCUUUCAUGCUCUUUUGCUUCCAAUUGUCUGCUUUUUUUCUUUCACAUAAAGCACACUUUGAAACAUCUGACCUCAGAUCAGGUAGGACUACCCGCUGAACUUAA
rnacentral:misc_RNA from 1 species